rnacentral:tRNA from 1 species
GCCUCUGUACCUCAGUUGGUUGGCGCACUGCACCAGAAUCGCAGGUUCAAUUCCUGCCAAGGACC